CAACGUUGACCUUGUUCCCUCUAUGGCAGCCCCGAAGUCCAAACACGCUCCCUGUCCCCGUCCCACCUUGGAGAACCUCAACGUUUGUCUUUGUCCUGCCCUGGAGAACCUCAACGUCGUCCCUGUCCCCUCUACGGCAGCCCCAGAGUCCAAACACCCUCCGUGUCUCCAUCCCAUCUUGGAGAACCUCAACAUUGUCCCUGUCCCCUCUACGGCAGCCCCAGAGUCCAACCAACCCUCCGUGUCUCCGUCCCACCUUGGAGAACCUCAACGUCGUCCCUGUCCCCUCUACAGCAGCCCCAGACUUUGGCCGCUCUCCGUGUCCCUGUCCCACCUUAGAGAACCUCAGUGUUGUCCCUAUUCCCCCUCCUCCACGCUAAUUCCAGUGUCCAAACACCCUCUGUGUCCUCAUCCCGUCCUGGAGAACCCCAACGUCCCAGUGUUGUCCCCUGUCCCUGCCAUGGCCACCCUCAUCUCCUUGGGGGAACCCUGGUGUCCUUGGUGUCCCCAUCCCACCCUGGAGAAGCCCAGUGUCAUCCCUGCCCACUCCAUGGCAAUGCCCAUGUCCAGCCACCCUCCAUGUCCCCAUCCCGUCCUGGAGAACCCCAACGUCCCAGUGUCAUCCCCAUCCCCACCAUGGAGUCUGGGCACCCUCCAUGUCCCCAUCCCACCCUGGAGAACCCCAAUGCCCCAGCAUCAUCACCAUCCCCACCACAGAGUCCAACCACCCUCCGUGUCCCCAUCCCACCCUGGAGAACCCCAACGUCUCAGCGUCAUCUCCAUCCCCACCACGGAUUCUGGGCACCCUCCAUGUCCCCAUCCCACCCUGGAGAACCCCAACGCCCCAGCAUCAUCCCCGUCCCCACGGUGGCCACCACGGAGCCCGGACGCCCUCCCCGUCUCCUCGGGGAAACCCCGGUGCCCUCGGCGCCCCCGUCCCAGCCCGGAGAAGGCCCGAGGUCCCCGUCCCCGCGUCCUACCUUGCCGCAGCCAGGCACCUCGACGCCGUCGACGGGCCGGGGGAUCUCGAUGGACUUGACGACGCCGUACUUGCUGCACUCGUCGCGCACGUCCUCCACGAUCUCCUCGUACUCCUCGUCGUCCAGCAGCUCCUCGGGCAGCACCAUGUUCAUGAGGCACAGCACCUCGGUGGGGUGGCCGCCCAUCUGCACCUGCGAGCUCAUCAGCCCGGGCACCUGCAGCGUCACCGGGGUCUGGUUUAUCGUGCUCUGGGAGGGCGACAGCGGGGUNNNNNNNNNNNNNNNNNNN
rnacentral:lncRNA from 1 species